rnacentral:rRNA from 1 species
AUUGAACGCUGGCGGCAGGCUUAACACAUGCAAGUCGAGCGGAGUGAUGGUGCUUGCACUAUCACUUAGCGGCGGACGGGUGAGUAAUGCUUAGGAAUCUGCCUAUUAGAGGGGGACAACAUCUCGAAAGGGAUGCUAAUACCGCAUACGUCCUACGGGAGAAAGCAGGGGAUCACUUGUGACCUUGCGCUAAUAGAUGAGCCUAAGUCGGAUUAGCUAGUUGGUGGGGUAAAGGCCUACCAAGGCGACGAUCUGUAGCGGGUCUGAGAGGCUGAUCCGCCAAACUGGGACUGAGACACGGCCCAGAAUCCUACGGGAGGCAGCAGUGGGGAAUAUUGGACAAUGGGGGGAACCCUGAUCUAGCCAUGCCGCGUGUGUGAAGAAGGCCUUAUGGUUGUAAAGCACUUUAAGCGAGGAGGAGGCUCUUUUGGUUAAUACCCAAGAUGAGUGGACGUUACUCGCAGAAUAAGCACCGGCUAACUCUGUGCCAGCCGCCGCGGUAA